GACGAACGCUGGCGGCGUGCUUAACACAUGCAAGUCGAACGGACGAGUGAGAUAAGUUUACUUAACUCACAAGUUAGUGGCGGACGGGUGAGUAACACGUGGAUAAUCUACCUGCAACACCGGGAUAACGCUGUGAAAACGGUGCUAAUACCGGAUACGUUCCCUUGUGCGCAUGUAUGAGGGAAGAAAGCUCAGGCGGUUGCAGAUGAGUCCGCGGCUGAUUAGCUAGUUGGUGAGGUAAAGGCUCACCAAGGCGAUGAUCAGUAGCCGGCCUGAGAGGGUGAACGGCCACACUGGGACUGAGACACGGCCCAGACUCCUACGGGAGGCAGCAGUGGGGAAUCUUCCGCAAUGGGCGCAAGCCUGACGGAGCAACGCCGCGUGGGUGAAGAAGGCCUCGGUUGUAAGCCUGUCUUAUGGGAAGAAGUCAGUGACGGUACCGAUAGGAGGAAGGCCACGGCUAACUAACGUGCCAGCAGCCGCGGUAAUGAGUAGUA
rnacentral:rRNA from 1 species